CAGAACUGUACUUUCAGGGAUCAUUUCUGUACCUCAUUACUAGAGAAGUUCCUCUUAACGUGUGGAGUGCCAGAAACCACAAGGAGGAGAGGCAGUGUUCUUUCCGGAGUGUGAAGCUGGCACUUCGUGUUUUGCUGUAACUGCUGUUUGCCAUUCAUCAUUCUUCUUUUCUUCCAGGAGAGGGAGAGGGAGAGGAUGCUAAAAUA
rnacentral:snoRNA from 1 species